GAGAAGUGGUCGCCAAGUGCAGCAGGUGUGAUCUUCUCUUGAGUCAUAUCUAUAGUGUGUUGAACGAGCCUGCUGUGAUGUCAGUUUGAACUGGGUUUGUGAUGAAAUACCCUCUGCAGAUCCUCUCUCUCCUAGCAAUUCACUGGACAGCAAUGGGCGAUGUACUUGAAGCACAUGGAACUGAAGGUGGAGAUUUAAACAUCAAGUGUCCAUAUCCAGAUGGUUAUCUGCAUCUAACAAAGUAUGUCUGCCGUCAUCCAUGUUGGAGAUGGGAUGUUCUUAUCAGAAGUGAUACGUCGGAUGUCAGUGAAGGAAGAUUCCUCCUGAAUGACAAUUCCCACGGGCGCAUUUUCAGUAUGACCAUCAUAAAACUGAGUCUACAGGACGCAGGCCUCUAUUACUGUGGAAUAGAUACAUGGGGCAGAGACUGGAAGGUCAAAGUAAAAGUGACUGUCAGUCAAGCAACGGUUCCUGCAGCCACACUGCCCCCCUCUGCUGUUCAGAGUGGCGGGGGUUCACCACACAGCAGCUCCGUCAGACCGACGGGAACUGCCUUCAGUGCUGAGCAAGAAUGGAGAGUCCCUUUCUCCACAC